UACGAAGGGUGCAAGCGUUACUCGGAAUUACUGGGCGUAAAGCGUGCGUAGGUGUUUUGUUAAGUCUGUUGUGAAAGCCCCGGGCUCAACCUGGGAAUGGCAAUGGAUACUGGCAGGCUAGAGUGCGGUAGAGGGUAGUGGAAUUCCCGGUGUAGCGGUGAAAUGCGUAGAGAUCGGAAAGAACACCAGUGGCGAAAGGCGGCGACCUGGGUCAAAAACUGACACUGAGGUGCGAAAAGCGUGGGGGAGCAAACGGG
rnacentral:rRNA from 1 species